rnacentral:rRNA from 1 species
CAGAGUUCAUGCCCGAAAGGGUAGACCUCCCACCCUUGUGUAUUAUUACUUUGUUGCUUUGGCGAGCUGCUCUUCGGGGCCUUGUAUGCGCGCCAGAGAAUAUCAAAACUCUUUUUAUUAAUGUCGUCUGAGUACUAUAUAAUAGUUAA